GUCUACGGCCCAUGCCACCCGAACAAGCCCGAUGUCUGAUCUCUGAAGCAAAGCAGGGUCGGGCCUGGUUAGUACUUAGAUAGAAGACCACCUAGGAAGACCAGGUGCUGUAGGCA
rnacentral:rRNA from 1 species